GACGAACGCUGGCGGCGUGCUUAACACAUGCAAGUCGAACGGAAAGGCCCUGCUUUUGUGGGGUGCUCGAGUGGCGAACGGGUGAGUAACACGUGAGUAACCUGCCCUUGACUUUGGGAUAACUUCAGGAAACUGGGGCUAAUACCGGAUAGGAGCUCCUGCUGCAUGGUGGGGGUUGGAAAGUUUCGGCGGUUGGGGAUGGACUCGCGGCUUAUCAGCUUGUUGGUGGGGUAGUGGCUUACCAAGGCUUUGACGGGUAGCCGGCCUGAGAGGGUGGCCGGCCACAUUGGGACUGAGAUACGGCCCAGACUCCUACGGGAGGCAGCAGUGGGGAAUAUUGCACAAUAGGCGGAAGCCUGAUGCAGCAACGCCGCGUGCGGGAUGACGGCCUUCGGGUUGUAAACCGCUUUCGCCUGUGACGAAGCGUGAGUGACGGUAAUGGGUAAAGAAGCACCGGCUAACUACGUG
rnacentral:rRNA from 1 species